UACGUAGGGUGCAAGCGUUAAUCGGAAUUACUGGGCGUAAAGCGUGCGCAGGCGGUUUUGUAAGUCUGUCGUGAAAGCCCCGGGCUUAACCUGGGAAUUGCGAUGGAGACUGCAAGGCUAGAGUUUGGCAGAGGGGGGUAGAAUUCCACGUGUAGCAGUGAAAUGCGUAGAGAUGUGGAGGAAUACCGAUGGCGAAGGCAGCCCCCUGGGUCAAUACUGACGCUCAUGCACGAAAGCGUGGGGAGCAAACAGG
rnacentral:rRNA from 1 species